rnacentral:lncRNA from 1 species
UUCCUCUCUUGGGUUCUCUUUUCACGGAGAGGUGGCUAGUGGGAACAUGCUGGGCAUCUUGGCAUCUUGGUGUUGGCUACAUCUAUUGUCUGGGUUUGUCGGAUGGAUUUGAUGAAAGCUCAAGAGAAGAGAGAUCUUGGAUUCUAGUUUCAAGAGAGAAGACAUGCAGUUUCAUACUUCAAGUUCCUGAAGGGAGAGGAAGACUGGAGAAAAGGUCAACAUGAGGAGAAGUCAUGAAAUUUUCCCUAUGCCCAGUUUAUCACAUUAAAGACUUUAGGAAAUUAUCCUUGAAAUUGUCUUGGUUGAA